rnacentral:lncRNA from 1 species
CCCUCCCUCCCUCCCUCCCUCAGUGAAUAGAGCCUCUUUGGAAAAAAAAAUAUGAGGGUCACAAGUCAUGAUUUUAAAGACAGUUUAUGUACUACAGUUAACUCUUUAUUGAUAUUUUUUUCCGACAAUUCUUGCCAUGUAUGCGACUGCUUUCAGAAGAAGGUUUUGAGUGUACCAUGUAACUCAUGACUUGAUUAUAUAGUCUAAGAACCAAAAAAAAAAGUAAGAAAAAAAUAAAUGUAAAGGAUUUUUAUUAUAUUUUAGACAAACAUAUAAUUUUAAAGUAUUUUAAAUACUGAAUCUAUAGUUCACUUUUAAAAAAUGCUCCAGUGGUAACAACUGGAUGGGUUUGCUUGAUUUUUGCCUCCCAAGAAAGUGCUCAAAAAGGACUAGUUUUGAAAGAAACACAUCGUUUGUAUCUUAGCUUUGAAAAGAGGAGGUAUUUUUCAUUAGAAAUUCCUUUCUAGGACUUUCCCAUCUGUCCUAAAAGUAGGAAAGGAGGAUCCGAGGGCUAGAUGGGCCAAUGCAGUGUUCAUUUUAUGAUUUUUUUUAAUGGUUUUUUUUUUUUUGAAGGGGGAGAGACACAAGUAAAACAAAACUUUUCUCAUUUUCCUGUCUAUGAAGUUCUUAAUGAAACAGACUUCUAAAACUGUACUGCUGAUAUCAGAAAGCCCAAGGAGUGACAUGUCACUAAAUCAAGGUUGGAUUUUCCUUUUUGUUCAGCCUCUUAAUUGAUAUAUUUCUCCGUUAAGCUGAAAGCCUCUGACGGUUAAGAACUUGCCUGAGUUUUUCUUAAUUCAGCAACGUGACAGCCUGACUGAUGGGCAUUCUAUAUAGCUCAAUUACGUCUGUUUUUUAUGCUAAGCAGGCCAAGCCAACCACACGGUAGCAAAGCAGCCUAAACGUAUAAUUAGAAUAAACUGUCUUCUUUCCAGACCGAGGGCCUUUAGGUGUAUUCAUUAGCAAUGGGGAAAUGCAGGCAAUAAAAGAUGUCAGGGGACUUGUCAGGACUUCUGGAGAUGCUGAACAGAAUGGAUGGCUUUCCGGCCAAAGGCAACGCCGGACAGAGUGAUAGGGGGGAUGUCCCCCCUGGACCAACUUGGCUCUCUAGCACCUUAAGUAAAACAUCACGGAAUCCUCUUCCUUGCCCCAAACCAGUCCCUUGCCUUUAAAAUCUUUCUGUUCAGUGUGUCUCGACAUGUAAGGUGAUGACAUGUUCAUUGUGUCUCUAGCCCCUCCUCCCUCCCAUUCCUUUCGAAAGCCAUCUCAUCCGUGAACAAAAUCUCAUUUUCCCAAGAGCACCUCCUGACCGGAGGCCAAGAGAAAGAGUUUACAAAACCGCCUUUCUUCAUCCAAAUGUAGUUUGUUCAUUAUUGAGAGCAUCUCUAUUGAAGAUCUCUUCUAGGCUACCUGGGAACUUUAACAGGGCCUCCCAGGCCUUAUUUGAUGGGCGCUAACAGCAACACAGAUGGGCACACCUGAUGGUGUGUCUACCUCACGCCAGUCGAGGUACCACAACUUAAUUGCUUCAUGAGAGAUUUCUCAACAUCCAAGGCCCAAACAGGUAGGGCAAAAAUCCCGGCCCCACUUGAUUGCAAUAAUUGUCAAGCUGUGUGUUGUAAGCUCCAUGGUUUUUCCUGGUCCUCCCACUUAGCAUGCCUCCGCUCCCCAAGCCAAUUUAUGCAAGCCACAGUCAUAACACUGUGCUCCCGGGGUGUUUUAUAAGGAUGAGAAUGAUUUAAGGAGAAGUGAAUAUCCCUGGGAGCUUCUCCAUGCAAUGCAACUAAAUACAGCCCAUAUUAGAAGCGGUGGCAAGGCAGAGGGAGACGGCCAGGUAGUGAUCUGCCCAUCAGUUACACAGAUUUUAGAGUAGUAGCAGAGCUUGUCAUUAAUUUCAUAAAUGCUUUUUUGAGGGGGGGGGGAACAGGAAAUCCAUGUUUUUAAGCAACUAUAACUGCCAUGAAAAUAGCCUUUCAGCUAGGAUAGAAUGUGCUUCUUUGUGGUUUAAUGUCAGAUUUUCUCAACUAUAUCCAUUGAAUUAUGAAGUCAAGUUUGAGGACCAAAGCAACAUUUCAACAGGAAAUUUUUCAUUUAGAAUUUUAUAACAUAUUUAUUAAUAAAUGUUAUUUUUAAAACAUUCCAUCUGAGCAGUAUUCUUGUGGAGGCCAUCCUCGUUUUUGGAAGUGUUAGUUUGUAGUAAGCCCAGCUGUGCAGUAUCCCCCUUGUCCGGGGUCUCAGAUGGCCGUUCUCCGUCUCGAGAUGGAAAAGUUUGCUUAGGUGGACACUCGGGGUUUUCUGGGGCUUCGUUGUUCUGAGUUUUCUACAAUCUGCUUCUGAGCACUGAGAAACAAUGAUGGCAAUUAUUUCCUAUUUGAUUUUCCAAGGAGCCCUUUUAUUUUAGGCAGCCAAGGUCAGCUAAAGGGGAAUCCUUAUUAUAACUGGAAAUGCUUUUUUUAGCCAUCCGACAUGGCUCACAAAUGUCCAAAUGACUGCGCCUCGCCUUGCUUCUGUUGAAUUCUUUCAGUGAGUACCAUUCCCUUAGCCCACCUAUGGCAUGGACUUCCAAAGCCCUAGUGGGCUCCACCUAGAAGAAGGGAAAGGAGAUGGCAAGUGAAGAUUUGAAUAAGAACCCUGCCUAUCAGGACAAUUGGAAGUUGGAGUCUCUUUUCUACUUUUCACCUUAUUUAUAUUUUUAAAUUGCACUUUAGUGUCUUUGUUCCUUUCCUAUUUCUCUUUCUGCCCCCACCCCCAACUUCUCUGUCCCCGGUCCUUUGGCCCUCCUCUCCCUGUCUUUGCCCCCCCUCGCCUGUUUUCCCUCCUUUUCCAUGACUCCAUGCAAGUCCGCUUCUCCCACUGGCUCAGACGUUGGCACUGGUGAUUUGGACAAGCUAGCAUCUCCUGUGGUUGUCAAGCCUCGUUGGGUCUCCCGGCGACCCGAGAUGGGGACUGAAAAGAAGCAAAUGCCAGGGAGUAAAACCGGCCAGUGCCCCGAAAGCCUCGGCCUCCAUGCCGUCCCCUGGUGGCACGGGGAUGUGCUGAGAUGCAAAAUGUGGGCAGCGGAGCCUCAGCUAGCUUUCCAAAUCCCCUUUUUCUUCCUGAGUACCAAAGUGUCCUGAAUGGGUGAGGGGCUGGAUUGUUCGCGGUCAACAUGGUGGAUGCACUUUAGCUAGUUUCCGACCUAAUGUAGCAAUGAGCCGCUGGGAUGCCAGCGGCUGGAGAUGGCGGGCUCUAAGUCCCUCAAAGACUGCCGCCUUAUCUCCUGAGGGGCAGCAUCCCUGCUUUUAGGCUCUGCCCUAAGGACAAGCGAAUGCAAAAGCAAUAAUAUUUCUAGUGAAGUCAAAUACCAAAAAAGCCCCCUAAUCCCCAAAUUGACUCCCCCCCCAACUCUAUCAGUGCAUAGAGUCAUUGUAAAGCUGGAAAUGAGUCUCUUCUAAAAUCUCUUUUUAUUUUUCUGUGUUAGGGGAGGGGGGCGGGAAGAAGGGAGGGAAUGGUUCCAGUGACCAUUGCUAAAAUUGUUUUAAGAACGUUUCUGCUUCUUAUUCUGGUUUUCAUGAAUUUUCUUUGGGAAGCUUGUUUUCUCACCAGGUCGGAAGAAGAGAGGCCCAAAGCCCGGAUCUCGUGUUCACAGAUGAACUCGUUCAGGGCUCGAUGGCUCUCUCGUCAGACUUGUGCCUUCAUGGGGCAGGUUUCCAGAGUUACAAUUAGACCCAGUUCUGAUAUCUGGCAUGCUAGAAAUCAAUAUCGCCAUGAUUUUUCCUACACCCUGCUCACUCUCCCUAGAUUAAGCUCUAUCUUACAAGCUUCCUUUUCUUUUGUAAAAGAGUUUUGGACUCAGGGUGCUCACAGAGAAGGCAGAGCCCAGAAGACUUAGUGUAAAUAUCCCUUGGAAAUGGCCAUGUGCCCCCCAUGCCUCUCGCGGUCCGGUUUCCCCGUUGAGAAUCUCAACCCCGCACGCGUGACUAGAGAUGGUCAAAGGAAAGGGGAGUGUUGAGAGAAGUGGGCUUUCUCCUUGUAUCCCCAGUACAGUGCCUUGCACAUAGUAUGAAAUGAAUUCAAGCGGAUGUGAUUACGACCGAGGAAACGCUCCAAGCCGUUGGAAUGGCUCGAUCGGCUUAGUCUCCUCUCUCCUGCCUGGGUACCGCGACACCCAUCUCUGCCUCAUGAGGACGUUUCUAGAGCCGAUGGGCUACCUCUGAGAAGCGUCUUAGAGGGCAGAGUCUUUCUAGAGAGGUAGAGCUUAGUGGAUGGAACUUCAAAGGUUUGGAGGUUCCCAGCCCCCAGAAAAGGACUGUUACGGGGACAGCUAGAAGAGUGGUGAUGGCCCACAGUGGGGAAGUGAGAGGAGGGGGCCCUCCAAAAGGUGCUGUCACUCGGAAUUGUGGGUUUGGGGCUGUUUGUCAUUGUCAACAGCAAAAGUUUCCAUGUUUGUUCGUCUUUGUUUAAUUAUGUAAAGCAACCACCUUCCUUCCUGGGAGGAGAGAACAUUUUGGUACAUACAUGUAAAUAUUCGCUGCCGCCUUUGAUAUGUUUAAUUUUAUGUUAAGCUUCUUGUUGUUUUUGUUGUUGUUCUUGCAUCAUGAACACAUGUAUUGUUAUAAAUGGACAAUGGGUUCAUUGAAACUGUUCGACUCGGUCAGAUUUUUACAUCUCUUUCUAUCGAGAAGAGACGAGAUUUUGUGCAUUUGUACAAAUGUUAAUAAUAUCACUGCAAUUCCAAUAUAAUAAAGCCUUCAAGUG